rnacentral:rRNA from 1 species
AGCCAUGCAUGUUCUAGUAUAAGCAUUUAUACCGUGAAACUGCGAAUGGCUCAUUAAAUCAGUUAUCGUUUAUUUGAUAGUACCUUACUACUUGGAUAACCGUGGUAAUUCUAGAGCUAAUACAUGCUGAAAACCCCAACUUCGGGAGGGGUGUAUUUAUUAGAUAAAAAACCAACGCCCUUCGGGGCUUCUUGGUGAUUCAUGAUAACUUUACGGAUCGCAUGGCCCUUGCGCCGGCGACGGUUCAUUCAAAUUUCUGCCCUAUCAACUUUCGAUGGUAAGGUAUUGGCUUACCAUGGUUUCAACGGGUAACGGGGAAUUAGGGUUCGAUUCCGGAGAGGGAGCCUGAGAAACGGCUACCACAUCCAAGGAAGGCAGCAGGCGCGCAAAUUACCCAAUCCCGACACGGGGAGGUAGUGACAAUAAAUACUGAUACAGGGCUCUUUUGGGUCUUGUAAUUGGAAUGAGUACAAUUUAAACCUCUUAACGAGGAACAAUUGGAGGGCAAGUCUGGUGCCAGCAGCCGCGGUAAUUCCAGCUCCAAUAGCGUAUAUUAAAGUUGUUGCAGUUAAAAAGCUCGUAGUUGAAACUUGGGUCUGGCUGGCAGGUCCGCCUCACCGCGUGUACUUGUCCGGCCGGGCCUUCCUUCUGGAGAACCUCAUGCCCUUCACUGGGCGUGUUGGGGACCAGGACUUUUACUUUGAAAAAAUUAGAGUGUUCAAAGCAGGCCUUUGCUCGAAUACGUUAGCAUGGAAUAAUAGAAUAGGACGUGCGGUCCUAUUUUGUUGGUUUCUAGGACCGCCGUAAUGAUUAAUAGGGACAGUCGGGGGCAUCAGUAUUCAAUUGUCAGAGGUGAAAUUCUUGGAUUUAUUGAAGACUAACUACUGCGAAAGCAUUUGCCAAGGAUGUUUUCAUUAAUCAGUGAACGAAAGUUAGGGGAUCGAAGACGAUCAGAUACCGUCGUAGUCUUAACCGUAAACUAUGCCGACUAGGGAUCGGGCGAUGUUCUUUUUCUGACUCGCUCGGCACCUUACGAGAAAUCAAAGUUUUUGGGUUCUGGGGGA